UCACGAGCAACCGCCCGAAAUG
rnacentral:miRNA from 1 species